AGCAGUAUGGUGUAUUCCGCACACGGGGUCUCUCAGUGGCAGGAAGAACCAAGAUUAACCCCGAGGUCCUCGUUCGAGUCGAGGUACUGCUC